rnacentral:rRNA from 1 species
GACGAACACUGGCGGCGUGCUUAACACAUGCAAGUCGAACGGUAAGGCCCUUCGGGGUACACGAGUGGCGAACGGGUGAGUAACACGUGGGUGAUCUGCCCUGCACUUCGGGAUAAGCCUGGGAAACUGGGUCUAAUACCGGAUAGGACCACGGCCUGCAUGGGUGGUGGUGGAAAGCUUUUGCGGUGUGGGAUGGGCCCGCGGCCUAUCAGCUUGUUGGUGGGGUGAUGGCCUACCAAGGCGACGACGGGUAGCCGGCCUGAGAGGGUGACCGGCCACACUGGGACUGAGAUACGGCCCAGACUCCUACGGGAGGCAGCAGUGAGGAAUAUUGCACAAUGGGCGCAAGCCUGAUGCAGCGACGCCGCGUGAGGGAUGACGGCCUUCGGGUUGUAAACCUCUUUCAGCACCGACGAAGCGCAAGUGACGGUAGGUGCAGAAGAAGGACCGGCCAACUACGUGCCAGCAGCCGCCGUAA